AAAGUAUCAGGAUUCAAUCCCCCAUCCCGAUGGAUUUCUGUCUUGACUGCGCCCCCCCCCCUUCCUGGAUUUAACAGCAGCAAUACCUAAAACACGGAGGGAUCUAAGCUCGUGGCGUGGGGUGGGGGAGGGAAGGAUUUUGCAAUAUAAACAUUGUGGGGGGGGACACACCACUUUGCAGUAGGAUUGCCGGGAUCAGCCCCUCCCCCAUUCUCCUGAUUCUCAGGAGGAAGAGGGGAGGGGGGACACCUUCCUCUCCUCCCCGCCCCCCAAGUUCCACCCUUCCCAGACCCCGCCUCCGCAAAGCCCAAAUCCCCUCCCCAAUAUGUUGCUCCUCUUCCUCGCCAUCCGGCUCCUGCUUCGGGAAAGUGGGGGCGGGGUGAACCCCCCUCCCAACCUGCCUGCUUCUCCCGCAAGUGGAGCUUCUGCGCCGGAUUGCUGCUCUGCGCCGUAGCUCUAGGGGGGGGGCGCUUUCGGAAAGGGGAGGAGGGGCAGCAGGUAAAAUCCCCCCCCACCCACGUGGAUGUUGCAGGAAAGGAAAGGAGAAUCGGGAGCGAGGACAAAGAGGAUCAGGAUCCUCAGGAGCGUGUCCUGGCGGCCAGAUUAAGGCAGUGUCAGACUGACAGACAAGCUGAGAUACAAUCCAUCAAAAUUCAAUGA
rnacentral:lncRNA from 1 species